rnacentral:tRNA from 1 species
UUUUAUGUGGCUCAGUGGCAAAGCACUUGCCUAGCAUGCAUGAGGCACUGGGUUCGAUCCUCAGUACCACAUAAAAA